rnacentral:rRNA from 1 species
UACGUAGGGAGCAAGCGUUGUUCGGAUUUACUGGGCGUAAAGCGUGCGCAGGCGGCGCGUUAAGACAGGUGUGAAAGCCCCGAGCUUAACUUGGGAAUUGCGCUUGUGACUGGCGUGCUGGAGUGUGGCAGAGGGAGGUGGAAUUCCACGUGUAGCAGUGAAAUGCGUAGAGAUGUGGAGGAACACCGAUGGCGAAGGCAGCCUCCUGGGCCAGCACUGACGCUCAUGCACGAAAGCGUGGGGAGCAAACAGG